CCGAGGACCCCCGGCGCGAGGAGAGUCAAGAAAACCCAGAUGGGGCCCGCGGCGCCCAUGCCGCGGCUGCAGCCCUAGCGACGGGAUGCGUUCUGAGACCCGCGAGCCUCCGGCAGCUCCGGGAAGACGCGGCUAGAGAAGCUGGCAGCUGCAGGCAGGGGAAGAUCCUAUGUUUAUGGAUUACUGAAGCAAAGACGACCAAUUACAGUUCUCAGAAGUGCAGAACCUCUGAACGUUCCUCCUGAAGCCCUUGGGAAAGGAGACUGAUUGCUGUCAUUUGAGGCAUCCUGUCUUGCCUCCUGAGGUGGCCUGAUUAAGAAGAGCAGUGAGAGGACACCUGCCAGACUCUUCAUGGGAUUCUCCAGGCAAGAAUACUGGAGUGCGUUGCCAUGCCCUCCUCCAGGGGGUCUUCCUGACCCAGGAAUCGAACCUGAAACUCCAGUGGCUCCUGCAUUGCAGAUGAGACCAGGAAAAAAGGAAGGUGAAAUCGCUCAGCCGUGUCCGACUCUAUAUGACCCCGUGAACUGUAGGUCACCAGGCUCCUCCAUCCAUGGGAUUUCCCAGGCAAAAAUACUGGAGUGGGUUGCCAUUUCCUUCUCCAGUGGAUCUUCCUGACCCAGGGAUCAAACUCGGUUCUCCCACAUUGCAGGCAGACACUUUAACCUCUGAGCCACCAGGGAAGUCCAAAGUAGACCUCAAUUCAGGGCUAAAAACACCUGGCAUUCUACAUAAUGCCCCAUGAAUUUUGAGGAUUUUCCAGUCAAGUCUCUGAGAACAGACACUGUCCCUGCCCUUUUGUGAGCAUCAGGCCUUGGUACAACUAAUUUAGGGGGUGGCUCUUUCCUUGGCCACAGAAAUUUCUCUCACAUUAAUUGUUUGUUACUCAACUGAACACUCAAGCAGAUCCUCAACAGAUCUCCAGAGAUUUCACUUUGUGAAUCUCUCUUUUCUUCGUCUCUGUCCUGUGAACUCCACUGUCCUUGGUCCCCUGGUUUACCAGGACUCAAUAUUAUCUUCUCAACUCAUGGAGUUUAUUUCAUUCCACCCCUCAGGGAUCACUGUUCUUUGUUCUGUCAUAACCAAUAUCUUCCAAAAGACUAUUUUAUAUAUUUUAAACACUGUUACAGAUGGAAAAGUAAAUCUCAUUCCUAUUCCUUUGUCUUUACCAGAUGCAGAAAUUUAGAAAUUUCCUUGUAUUUAUACACCCUCCCCUACAAUAUACCAAGGAUAUUUUGGCAUUUCAAUUUCAUCCAGCACGGACCACUUUUGGGUCCAGGUUUAAGUCAACCAACAUGUUAGAGUCACUCCCAGUUCCCUAAGCAAAUACAUCAAAAUCAACAUUUCUUCUUAUUGCAUCAAUGUGAAAUCUGGUAGAAUAUUACAUUAUAUUGCAUUUUUUCCGCCCUGAUCCAAGAGUGUUAGGACUCACUCCCAUUUUCUAAUUUAUAUUCACUAUGAAUAUAAAUUAGAAAAAGCUUGAAAUUGUUUUCAUGCAUAUGGUGCCUCCUCCCAGGUCACAAAUGUACCCAAGCCCUAACAACUGAUAGAAUUUGGAAAUGGUUAUAGAUUUAGAAGAAAUGAGAGCUGGUGGAGGUAGGUCUUGAUGAGCAUCAAUAUGCAUUUCUCUGGGAAGAUCCUUAAAACUUUUUCAAGAUAAAUAUUUCUUAUUACUCUGUAACUCAGGUACACUUAGAAUUUGACUGUAGGUUUGUUUUUCAGAAAUUUUGACUCUGGCUAUAAAAGAUAAAUUUCUUUCAUGACAUUCAAAUUUUUUUUUUUUUCAUGUUCCUGUGCUAACCUUGGAUUGAGACUGUAGAGAGAGCCUUGAGGGUAUCUUUUUUUUUUUCUUCCAUGUUCUCCAAUGCAUUUAGAAUCAAUCAUUGGACCAUAUAGUCUUUAGUGUCUCUUCAUUUCCAUUAAAAUGAGCUCUAUGGGCUAAUAAAAAAAAGAAAUAUAUUUAUUUCCUCCACAGAUAGUUGCAUGAGGCACAUAUGCUUGCUUACACAUAUGCUUGUCUGUAAGCAAGCUUGGAAUUAUUCAUAUUUGUCCAGCGUAUGCUAAGCAGCUGGAGUCUACUUAGCAAGUUACCCAGAUAUUUUCUUGUGGACACCUACUAUUGUGCUCCAGUGGUAAAGACUUUAAGAAUAUGCAUUUGAAAAUCAUCACAGUGACUCUUUCUUGGGGGUUAAAAGACUUUGGGACUAUAAAGUUAAUGCUUUGAAUUGUAGUAUUUUAAUCUCAUUUAGGUAAAAUUAAUUUAGCUUUUGGUCCUGACUGUGUAAUUAAAAUUUAUUUAGUCAUGUUAAAUUUUGUUUUGAGUUUUCUAGAAUCAGAACUAUAAGUUCCAGCUAGAACUCUUGACUCAAAAACAUUUUGAAACCCUUAUUACUGAAUGAAAACCAUUGUAAGAAAAGUGUAUUAGUUAACACUGCAAUAAAUGUUGUGUAACUACCUAUCCUAAAAUUCAUUGCCAUUUUAACCAGUACU